rnacentral:rRNA from 1 species
GAUCUUUAUUUUUUUUUUAUAUAAGUUAAUAAGUUUUUAAAAAUUUAUAAUAAAAUUAAAAAUUUUACUGGGGUGGUAUUAAAAUUUAAUAAACUUUUAAAAUUUUAUACAUUAAUAUAUGAAUAUUUGAUCCAAUUUUAUUGAUUAAAAAAUUAAGUUACCUUAGGGAUAACAGCGUAAUUUUUUUUUAGAGUUCAUAUCGACAAAAAAGAUUGC